rnacentral:rRNA from 1 species
UGAGGGAUAUUGGUCAAUGGGGGGAAACCCGUGAACCAGCAACGCCGCGUGAGGGAAGACGGUUUUCGGAUUGUAAACCUCUGUCCUCUGUGAAGAUAAUGACGGUAGCAGAGGAGGGAAGCUCCGGCUAACUACGUGCC